UGCUGCCCACUGACCUCAGCCGCUUGGUUUGGGGGGCAGAGUUUAUUUAGGAGUGACAAUCUGAGCACGCCCACGUUAUGUGAUGUUGCACACAGGGUCUAUGCUUGUACUUGAUCCUCAGGUUACCAGGUUCCUCUUAAGUGCAUGCAGUUUAACAUGAACUUACGUGCUUUGGACUCGCAGAGUAGAAACUUCCUAUUGGAUUACCAUUUUUCUUAUUAAAUACUUUAAAGCACUCUCUGUGACUUAUGCUACUUGGAAGUUACGUGUAUGUGCUAAGAGUACCUUUACAUAAUGCACUGGAUAUUUUCUUUUACGUUGCCAAGCUUGCUUCUGAGUCCUAAGCUCUCUUGAGGCAGCGAAGGCUUAGUAAAUCCUGGAAAUAAUACUGAUUGAAUGUAGCUUUAGGUGACAGAAAAAAACAGCCAGAGGUUGCUCAGGGCUUUCCCCUGCUUUGGUAACCUGGAUUACAGUCGGUGUUGGGUGCCUGAACCAAUCUUAAAGGGCAUCCCAUGGCAAAACAUUUGCCAUGAUGAGAAGAAGUUCAUAAAAUGGCAAUGAUCUUUAUUUGUAUAGCACUUUUCACCCAGGAGAAAAACAUAGUGCUUCACAAAAUGAUUUUUACAAGCUGCACCAGCACUGAAAAACAAGCUCCUCCAGGAUGAAAUACACCAGCUGCUAAGCAGCAGCACUGCUGCAUGAAUAAAAUAAUAAAGCUAUUUGGAGAGGAGUUAAUGACUGCCACUGAGCAGGUCUGAUCGACAAGCAGUGGUAGGUUUUACUGAAGGUGAUGGGAGUUUGAACUGUUCUGUUUCCAGGAGAACAGAGGAUGCAGUUCAAUAUCCUUUUGCAGAGAGGGAUCUGGUAGCAACGAGCUCUCCCUUGGUAGCAAGGGGCUUCUUGGAUGUUGAGAAUGCAGUUGGAAGACCAGGUGAAAGAAAGAAAGGGGGAGCAGCAUGGGACUGGCACUCUCAGGGACAAGUCAUCCCCCAUUCCUGGGGAGUGGAAAGAUUCUUCAGUGCAGGGAAGAGUGUGCUCCUGACCGGACUUCCAAGAGUAUCUGACCCGUUUCCCAGAGGUCCAGGAGGAGCCCUGCACCAUCUCUCUCUCACCUCACCCAGCAGACUGUGAAAUCAUGAGGUUGUGGAAGUGUGUGUACAGUGGGAUCAGAUCUGGAGCACAGCCAGCCACCAACACAAAAAUGAGAGGCAAUAUCUGAACCUAUACUUCACAAAAAUAUUUCUGGUCUUGCAAAACACAUGGAGGCACUUACUAUUUUAAAUCUCUGCCUACAGCAAGAGUGUAAGAAAUACAAAUGAAGAUAACAGCUACCACAGACAGCAGCUCUGAUAGGCUCCCUCUGUUCUCAGUAGUAUCCAGAUUGUUUUCUUCAUGCACCAAUCCCAGAAUUCCUCUUUUGGAGAAUCAAAGAUGACUUUAGUGGAUUGACUGGAGAGGUGCCUGCCUAAAAUGAACUGGGGUGGAUGGUAGAACCAGAGCAGCCACAGAAGCAUGGAUAUCCCAGAUGAGAAGAUGCCCGUGCCUGUCCCCGUUCAAGUGGUCUGAGGCAUUUCUGUUGUGUAGGUGGGUGUCCAUGUGUAAAUUAAAGACCCAAACCAUGCACUGAAAGGCUUACAGCCCACUGAAACAUGACUAUUAAUCAGAUUAAAGUUAAGCAUAGGAGACACUGAAUAAGUAGUGAGACCCGUGACGUUAGCUGUGGAUACAAGAAAGGGGAAGUGUGAGUAUCAGCUGAUGAUAAAAACAGAAUUAUCAGGACCUGUUGUCUGCAGUCAUUUGGAGGCUCUAAAUUGUGUUCGUGGAUGAAAAGCAGUGUGAAAAAUUCCCUCUUGUUCAUUACUCACAGGGGAGGAAGUUUUGCAAAGAUUGCCAAAACCUACAUUAGAAAACUUGAUGUAC
ensembl:lncRNA